rnacentral:rRNA from 1 species
AAAUUGAAGAGUUUGAUCAUGGCUCAGAUUGAACGCUGGCGGCAGGCCUAACACAUGCAAGUCGAACGGUAACAGGAAGCAGCUUGCUGCUUCGCUGACGAGUGGCGGACGGGUGAGUAAUGUCUGGGAAACUGCCUGAUGGAGGGGGAUAACUACUGGAAACGGUGGCUAAUACCGCAUAACGUCGCAAGACCAAAGAGGGGGACCUUCGGGCCUCUUGCCAUCAGAUGUGCCCAGAUGGGAUUAGCUUGUUGGUGAGGUAACGGCUCACCAAGGCGACGAUCCCUAGCUGGUCUGAGAGGAUGACCAGCCACACUGGAACUGAGACACGGUCCAGACUCCUACGGGAGGCAGCAGUGGGGAAUAUUGCACAAUGGGCGCAAGCCUGAUGCAGCCAUGCCGCGUGUAUGAAGAAGGCCUUCGGGUUGUAAAGUACUUUCAGCGGGGAGGAAGGUGUUGUGGUUAAUAACCGCAGCAAUUGACGUUACCCGCAGAAGAAGCACCGGCUAACUCCGUGCCAGCAGCCGCGGUAAUACGGAGGGUGCAAGCGUUAAUCGGAAUUACUGGGCGUAAAGCGCACGCAGGCGGUCUGUCAAGUCGGAUGUGAAAUCCCCGGGCUCAACCUGGGAACUGCAUUCGAAACUGGCAGGCUUGAGUCUUGUAGAGGGGGGUAGAAUUCCAGGUGUAGCGGUGAAAUGCGUAGAGAUCUGGAGGAAUACCGGUGGCGAAGGCGGCCCCCUGGACAAAGACUGACGCUCAGGUGCGAAAGCGUGGGGAGCAAACAGGAUUAGAUACCCUGGUAGUCCACGCCGUAAACGAUGUCUACUUGGAGGUUGUGCCCUUGAGGCGUGGCUUCCGGAGCUAACGCGUUAAGUAGACCGCCUGGGGAGUACGGCCGCAAGGUUAAAACUCAAAUGAAUUGACGGGGGCCCGCACAAGCGGUGGAGCAUGUGGUUUAAUUCGAUGCAACGCGAAGAACCUUACCUGGUCUUGACAUCCACGGAAGUUUUCAGAGAUGAGAAUGUGCCUUCGGGAACCGUGAGACAGGUGCUGCAUGGCUGUCGUCAGCUCGUGUUGUGAAAUGUUGGGUUAAGUCCCGCAACGAGCGCAACCCUUAUCCUUUGUUGCCAGCGAUUAGGUCGGGAACUCAAAGGAGACUGCCAGUGAUAAACUGGAGGAAGGUGGGGAUGACGUCAAGUCAUCAUGGCCCUUACGACCAGGGCUACACACGUGCUACAAUGGCGCAUACAAAGAGAAGCGACCUCGCGAGAGCAAGCGGACCUCAUAAAGUGCGUCGUAGUCCGGAUUGGAGUCUGCAACUCGACUCCAUGAAGUCGGAAUCGCUAGUAAUCGUGGAUCAGAAUGCCACGGUGAAUACGUUCCCGGGCCUUGUACACACCGCCCGUCACACCAUGGGAGUGGGUUGCAAAAGAAGUAGGUAGCUUAACCUUCGGGAGGGCGCUUACCACUUUGUGAUUCAUGACUGGGGUGAAGUCGUAACAAGGUAACCGUAGGGGAACCUGCGGUUGGAUCACCUCCUUACCUGAAAGAA